rnacentral:rRNA from 1 species
UGCCUUAGUAACUGCGAGUGAAGCGGCAAAAGCUCAAAUUUGAAAUCUGGCGUCUUCGACGUCCGAGUUGUAAUUUGGAGGGGCAUCUUCGGAAUUGGCGCCGUCCUAAGUUCCUUGGAACAGGACGUCAUAGAGGGUGAGAAUCCCGUGCCUGGAUGGCUGUCCAAUUCCAUGUGAAGUGUCUCCGACGAGUCGAGUUGUUUGGGAAUGCAGCUCAAAAUGGGUGGUAAAUUUCAUCUAAAGCUAAAUAUUGGCGAGAGACCGAUAGCGCACAAGUAGAGUGAUCGAAAGAUGAAAAGCACUUUGAAAAGAGAGUUAAAAAGUACGUGAAAUUGUUGAAAGGGAAGCGCUUGAGACCAGACUCAAUCUUAGGUGAUCAGCCGUGCUUCUGUACGGUGCACUUGCCUUUGAUUGGGCCAGCAUCAGUUCUGACGGUGGGAUAAAAUGCAUAGGAAUGUGGCUCUCUUCGGGGAGUGUUAUAGCCUUUGUAACAAUGCCACCAGUUGGGACUGAGGACCGCGCUUCGGCUAGGAUGCUGGCGUAAUGGUCUUAAGCGACCCGUCUUGAAACACGGACCAAGGAGUCUAACAUCUAUGCGAGUGUUCGGGUGGAAAACCCUUGCGCGUAAUGAAAGUGAACGGAGGUGUGAACCCCUCGGGGUGCAACAUCGACCGAUCCUGAUGUUUUCGGAAGGAUUUGAGUAAGAGCAUAGCUGUUGGGACCCGAAAGAUGGUGAACUAUGCCUGAAUAGGGUGAAGCCAGAGGAAACUCUGGUGGAGGCUCGCAGCGGUUCUGACGUGCAAAUCGAUCGUCAAAUUUGGGUAUAGGGGCGAAAGACUAAUCGAACCAUCUAGUA